rnacentral:rRNA from 1 species
UACAUAGGGGGCAAGCGUUAUCCGGAAUUAUUGGGCGUAAAGAGUGCGUAGGCGGUUGACUAAGUCUGGUGUAAAAUCCCACAGCUUAACUGUGGAGGGUCAUUGGAAACUGGUUAACUAGGGUACGGUAGAGGUAAGCGGAAUUCCAAGUGGAGCGGUAAAAUGCGUAGAUAUUUGGAGGAACACCGGUGGCGAAGGCGACUUACUGGGCCGGAACUGACGCUGAUGCACGAAAGCGUGGGGAGCAAACAGGAUUAGAUACCCUGGUAGUCCACGCUGUAAACGAUGGAUACUAGGUGUAGGGGGUAUCGACCCCCCCUGUGCCGCAGUUAACACAAUAAGUAUCCCGCCUGGGGAGUACGGCCGCAAGGUUGAA